GUAGCCUCUCCAAAACACUGCAGGAGAAGCCAGCCUUGAGUCUGCCCUGCAUGUUCCUCGAACUCCUCAGGUCCUGUGGACAAUUGACUGAGGAGACAAACCAUGCAGGAAACAAUG
rnacentral:snoRNA from 1 species